rnacentral:rRNA from 1 species
CGCAGCCGAUGCGCCAUGCCGCGUGUGUGAAGAAGGCCUUCGGGUUGUAAAGCACUUUCAGUCGUGAGGAAGGUGGUGGUGUUAAUAGCUGUAUCAUUUGACGUUAGCGACAGAAGAAGCACCGGCUAACUCCGUGCCAGCAGCCGCGGUAAUACGGAGGGUGCGAGCGUUAAUCGGAAUUACUGGGCGUAAAGCGCAUGCAGGUGGUUUGUUAAGUCAGAUGUGAAAGCCCGGGGCUCAACCUCGGAAUAGCAUUUGAAACUGGCAGACUAGAGUACUGUAGAGGGGGGUAGAAUUUCAGGUGUAGCGGUGAAAUGCGUAGAGAUCUGAAGGAAUACCGGUGGCGAAGGCGGCCCCCUGGACAGAUACUGACACUCAGAUGCGAAAGCGUGGGGAGCAAACAGGAUUAGAUACCCUGGUAGUCCACGCCGUAAACGAUGUCUACUUGGAGGUUGUGGCCUUGAGCCGUGGCUUUCGGAGCUAACGCGUUAAGUAGACCGCCUGGGGAGUACGGUCGCAAGAUUAAAACUCAAAUGAAUUGACGGGGGCCCGCACAAGCGGUGGAGCAUGUGGUUUAAUUCGAUGCAACGCGAAGAACCUUACCUACUCUUGACAUCCAGAGAACUUUCCAGAGAUGGAUUGGUGCCUUCGGGAACUCUGAGACAGGUGCUGCAUGGCUGUCGUCAGCUCGUGUUGUGAAAUGUUGGGUUAAGUCCCGCAACGAGCGCAACCCUUAUCCUUGUUUGCCAGCGAGUAAUGUCGGGAACUCCAGGGAGACUGCCGGUGAUAAACCGGAGGAAGGUGGGGACGACGUCAAGUCAUCAUGGCCCUUACGAGUAGGGCUACACACGUGCUACAAUGGCGCAUACAGAGGGCAGCAAGCUAGCGAUAGUGAGCGAAUCCCAAAAAGUGCGUCGUAGUCCGGAUUGGAGUCUGCAACUCGACUCCAUGAAGUCGGAAUCGCUAGUAAUCGUGGAUCAGAAUGCCACGGUGAAUACGUUCCCGGGCCUUGUACACACCGCCCGUCACACCAUGGGGAGUGGGCUGCAAAAGAAGUAGGUAGUUUAACCUUCGGGAGGACGCUUACCACUUUGUGGUUCAUGACUGGGUGAUCG